UAAGGAAUAUUGGACAAUGGGCGCAAGCCUGAUCCAGCCAUGCCGCGUGAAGGAUGAAGGCCCUAUGGGUCGUAAACUUCUUUUAAACGGGACGAAACCCCUCGACGUGUCGAGGGCUGACGGUACCGUAAGAAUAAGGGUCGGCUAACUUCGUGCCAGCAGCCGCGGUAAUACGAAGGACCCGAGCGUUAUCCGGAUUUAUUGGGUUUAAAGGGUGCGUAGGCGGACCUAUAAGUCAGUGGUGAAAGCCCAUCGCUCAACGAUGGAAUUGCCAUUGAUACUGUAGGUCUUGAGUAUAGUUGAGGUGGGCGGAAUGUGUCAUGUAGCGGUGAAAUGCUUAGAUAUGACACAGAACACCUAUUGCGAAGGCAGCUCGCUAAGCUAUAACUGACGCUGAGGCACGAAAGUGUGGGUAGCAAACAGG
rnacentral:rRNA from 1 species